UCAUUUGUUCCUUUCAUUCAACAACACUGAUUUCACAUAACCCUAGCGUCGCAGACACGUUUUCUUUAAAAAAAUCGACAUCAAACACCAAUUUCACAUCUUCAUUAGAGGUACGAUUAUGUUCUAUCAUUUACCAGAUUGUCAUCGAUAUAUCAUUUACCAGAUUUUCACUCUCAAAACCCUAAAUCCCAAUCUAAAGAAACUGAGCAUAAGGUAUGAUGUUGUGUUCUAAAACACUGUCCCUCAUUCGGCAAACCCUAAUACACCAAUCAAUCUGCCCGGCGAUUCUUCUCCGUUAAGCCCUGGUAUACAAACCCUAAUUAUAUCGAUUCAGCUGCUCUGUGUUAUCUCUUCUCAUCAUUCAUCCAUCUAUGAAUCAUCGGAUCUUUACAUCCGAUUUCAACAGAUUUAAAAAGUUGAUGAAACAUUCGUACCUUCAAGCAGCACCAAAUUGGGCAAAAUUGUGAUAUCCACAACCAUAUGGUACCCACUUGGUGCACGUAUGUCGAUCUCUUCGUCUCGAAGGGUUUUUAUAAUCCUCUAAUCGAUUUGAUGUUGAAUGUUCAUUUGUAAGGUAUGUUUCAUUAUCAUUUAACAUCCUAUUUUUUGAAUCCUCUAUUUUUAUUUACAGAUUAGGGUUCUCUUUAGGCAUCCAUUUUAGAUUAGGGUUCUUUUUGGGUUUGGAUUGUGUCUCUGUUACGCAUCCGUUUUUUGCAACUAAAUCUACCACCUUAUCUUUGUUGAUUUGAACUUUGCUUCUGUAAACAUCCUGAUCUGUUUAGACUCAUAUAAGGUUAAUUCAAAAACCUUUUGAGAUAAAAGAUCAUUAUGUUGUACUUUAUAUCUUUUGCAUUUACUGGUAUGGACUCAGUUUAUAUAAACCAUUCGAUUUUGUUUAAAUUCACCAAAAUUAAAAAAAAAAAAAAAACAUUUUAAAUAGGAGAAUUUAAUCAUCCGAUUCUAUUAAAACCUGUUUUCCUAAUUUGUAUGCAUAAAUAUAUCUCUUUUUUUGUAAAUAUUAAUCUCUUUUGAGUUGAAUAAUUUACUUGGAAUAGUAUCUCAUCAUUGUCAAUAGGAAUUCUUGUAUGAACUUCGUUUAGUUCGGUAAAAGUGAAAUGUAAGCCUGUUUGAAAUGUUGAGUUAUACAAUCAACUAAGUUCAUUAAUAUGGAUUGAUGAAAAGGUUAGGUUGUUCUUCCAUAUUUUUAUCUUUCUUUCACUAAGUUCACUAAAUGUCGUUCUUACAUUUUGAUUUUUGUCAUAAUUUACAUUUUCUAGGCAAUUUACUUGCAAAAGUUGUACCUAAUAAAUCAAUAUGUAACAUUUUGAAUAAAGUAAACAAUGUAAUUUAAUUACAUAAGUUAUCCUUAUGUAUGUUACGAGUCCAAGGUGUAAGCCAAGCCACGUGUUGUGACCGUUGGAAGGAAAUGAAGACGCUUUGAUCUUUUUCAGAGACCCAUUUCUUUUUCUUUUUUUUUUUUUUUGUCGUUCGACAUCUUUUGUGGGUUUCGCAUAACAAAACCCUUACCAUCAAGUUUAUGCAUUAACCAAAAAUAAUAAUAAUAUAAGUAACUUUCUCUAGCCCGGGAAGCAAUCCCGGGUGAUAUCUGUUUCGUUUUGUUAAUUGGUUAGUCUCCUUUUGAUUUUCAUACCCAAGACGCAAGAUUAUAAUAUAUGUUUAAUUUUUAGAUGAUUGUUAAUAAUAUUUUUUGCUCUUUUUAUUCCAUGUUACUUUUGAGGAACGGCAUAUUGGAAGUGUAUUAUGAGAUCUUUCAGGGUUUUAAGAACUCUCCUAAAACUCAGUUGUUAAUUCCUUAUGCCCCACAUAUCGUUCAGUUUCUAGAUCUGAUCUACAUGUAGAAAGACAUAUAAAAAAGUAUAAAAAAAAUGGGUUGAACGGGUCGUGUUCAGGUCAAGCUGCAAAUAUUCGGGUCAUGUUCGGGUUCAUAUGACAAGAUUUUCGGUUCGGGUUGAACCGGCUAACACACGAAAUUACGGUAAAAAACCGUUGAGGAGAUCAUCAAGGAGUGGAAUGUUGAGCUCCAGGAAAGAACUAGCAAGUUCAGGAAGCAAGCUAAUGCAAUAGCUGAGUGGGACAGGAGAAUCUUGCAGAACCGAGAUGUUCUUCUUAAACUUGAGGCAAAAGUUGCGAAAGUUGUUGAUACUCAAUCCAACCUUGAGAGACACCGGAGCUAAUUGAGACUCGUCAACAAGAGGGUGGAGAACUUGAAGCAACUGAUGGUAUGAUUCCAAUGGAUGUCGUUGUCCGAAUCCUUAACAAUCAACUAAGUUCAUUAAUGUGGAUUGAUGAAAAGGCAAUUUACUUGCAAAAGGUGUACCUAAUAAAUCAAUAUGUAACCUUUUGAAUAAAGUAAACAGUGUAAUUUAAUUACAUAAGUUAUCCUUAUGUGUGUUACGAGUCCAAGGUGCCACGUGUUGUGACCGUUGGAAGGAAAUGAAGACGCUUUGAUCUUUUUCAGAGACCCGUUUCUUUUUUUUCUUUUUUUUUUUUCGUUUGACAUCUUUUGUGGGUUUCGCAUAACAAAACCCUCACUGUCAAGUUUAUGCAUUAACCAAAAAUAAUAAUAAUAUAAGUAACUUUCUCUAGCCCGGGAAGCAAUCCCGGGUGAUAUCUUAAUCCUUUUCUUAAUCGGUUAGUCUCCUUUUGGUUUUGAUAUCUGUUUCUUUUUUUUUUUUUAUGUUUGAUCGUUCUUUGUUGCUUGCUUAAGGGGAUUUUGAUCAGUUUUGAUUAGUUUAUGAUUCUUCCUAUCGUUCUUGGUGUGGUUUUUUGUUAUAGAUCUGAAAGUAUUCUUAGCAAUUUAAGGUUUGGUACUACAAUUUCUUUCACAAAAUAGUUCCAGUUGCUUGCCAUGUUAACCUUCUUAAGUGUUUUGUAAGCUCGUAGAUUGUGGGAAGAAAGUCAUUAAGCUGCCGCAGAUGAAGUCGCUUAUGAUCAAACAUGGGCAUCGGACUUUAAUCCUCAAGCAAACACCGCUACUAAUGAAGUUGAUGUCAUGGUAGAAAAUACAUGGGAGGAAAGUCAUUAGGCUGCCACAGAUGAAGUCAAAUGUGAUCAAACUUAGACAUCGGUAGGGGUGCAAACGAGCCGAGACGAGCCUGAGCUCGGUCAGGCUCGAGCUCGAUUAACUUAUGAGAGCUCGGGCUCGAGCUUGGCUCGUUUG